AACGAACGCUGAUGGCGUGCCUCAUACAUGCAAGUCGAGCGCGCAGCAAUGCGAGCGGCGAACGGGUGAGUAACACGUGAACAAUCUGCCUUGAGGUGGGGGAUAACCAUUCCAACGGAUGGCUAAUACCGCAUAGGGUUCGGGGAGGGCAUCCUUCCCUUACGAAAGCAGCGAUGCGCCUUGAGAUGAGUUCGCGUCCAUUAGCUAGUUGGCGGGGUAACGGCCCACCAAGGCGACGAUGGGUAGCCGGCCUGAGAGGGUGUCCGGCCACAUUGGGACUGAGAUACGGCCCAGACUCCUACGGGAGGCAGCAGUAGGGAAUUUUGCGCAAUGGGGGAAACCCUGACGCAGCAACGCCAUGUGUGGGAUGAAGCAUUUCGGUGUGUAAACCACUGUCGGCAGGGAAUAAAGCCCGCGCGUGCGCGGGGUGAAUGUACCUGCAGAGGAAGCCCCGGCUAACUUCGUGCCAGCAGCCGCGGUAAUACGAGGGGGGCAAGGCUGUUGUUCGGAAUGCACUGGGCGUAAAGGGAGCGUAGGCGGACGUUUAAGUUGGAGGUUUAAAACCGGGCCCAACCCGGGGCGCCUCCAAAACUGGCGUCUUGAAUGGGACAGAGGCUGGUGGAAUUGGGGUGUAGCGGUGGAAUGCGUAGAGAUCCCCAAGAACACCGAUUGCGAAGGCAGCCAGCCGGCUCCACAUUGACGCUGAGGCUCGAAAGCAU
rnacentral:rRNA from 1 species